rnacentral:rRNA from 1 species
UACGUAGGGUGCAAGCGUUGUCCGGAAUUAUUGGGCGUAAAGAGCGCGUAGGCGGCCCGAUUAGUCCGCUGUGAAAGUCCAGGGCUCAACCCUGGAAUGCCGGUGGAUACUGUCGGGCUAGAGUCCGGAAGGGGCGAGUGGAAUUCCUGGUGUAGCGGUGAAAUGCGCAGAUAUCAGGAGGAACACCGAUGGCGAAGGCAGGUCUCUGGGCAUUAACUGACGCUGAGGAGCGAAAGCAUGGGGAGCGAACAGG